rnacentral:tRNA from 1 species
UAGAGUAGUAUAAAGUUAUAUUAUGGUUAGUUUACGUCUAUUCGAUGUUUUCCUUUAC